UGACCUCAGAUCAGGUAGGGAUACCCGCUGAACUUAA
rnacentral:rRNA from 6 species